UACAGAGGGGGCAAGCGUUAUUCGGAAUUAUUGGGCGUAAAGGGCGCGUAGGCGGCGAUUCAAGUGACGGGUGAAAUCCCCCGGCUCAACCGGGGAACUGCAUCGGAUACUGGUGGACUCGAGAGUUGUAGGGGUGGACGGAACUCCAGGUGGAGCGGUGAAAUGCGUAGAUAUCUGGAGGAACACCGGAGGCGAAAGCGGUCCACUGGGCAACUUCUGACGCUGAGGUGCGAAAGCUAGGGUAGCAAACGGG
rnacentral:rRNA from 1 species